rnacentral:rRNA from 1 species
UACAGAGGUCUCAAGCGUUGUUCGGAUUCAUUGGGCGUCAAGGGUGCGUAGGCGGCGGGGCAAGUCAGGUGUGACAUCUCGGGGCUCACCCCCGACACUGCACUUGAUACUGCUCUGCUAGAGUACUGGAGAGGAGAUUGGAAUUUACGGUGUAGCAGUGAAAUGCGUAGAUAUCGUAAGGAAGACCAGUGGCGAAGGCGAAUCUCUGGACAGUUACUGACACUGAGGCACGAAGGCCAGGGGAGCAAACGGG